AGCCAGACUCCUACGGGAGGCAGCAGUGGGGAAUAUUGCACAAUGGGGGAAACCCUGAUGCAGCGACGCCGCGUGAGUGAAGAAGUAAUUCGUUACGUAAAGCUCUAUCAGCAGGGAAGAAAUACUGACCUUACGGUCAGCAGACGGUACCUGAGUAAGAAGCCCCGGCUAACUACGUGCCAGCAGCCGCGGUAAUACGUAGGGGGCGAGCGUUAUCCGGAUUUAUUGGGUUUAAAGGGUGCGUAGGCGGUUUUUUAAGUUAGUGGUUAAACGUCGGGGCUUCACCUUGAUUUGCCAUUAAUACUGUAAGACUCGAGUUCAGACGAGGUAGGCGGAAUAAGUUAAGUAGCGGUGAAAUGCUUAGAUAUAACUUAGAACUCCGAUAGCGAAGGCAGCUUACCAGACUGCGACUGACGCUGAGGCACGAAAGCGUGGGGAUCGAACAGGAUUAGAUACCCGGGUAU
rnacentral:rRNA from 1 species